UUGUUCUAGGUUCAGUUUAAUUUUCGCUUUUUUUUAUGCAAUCUUUUAAUUCUUCUUUGAUGCAAUACAUUAAAUUUUCUUUUAUACAAUUUAUGUUCUAGGCUUUUGAUCUUCUUAGCACUAUUUUUCAUUCAUUUUAAUUUAUGCCAAGGCUUUUCUUUUCCAUUAAAUAUAUAAAUACUUUUCGAAUUUAAGUAACUGUCUUUCCGUUAAUUUCAAGUUAAAAAUCAUUCCACAUCCCCAACGUAAUGUUUUUCUUUUAUCAUUAAAAAAAAUCGAUUUCAAAUCUGAGUGA
rnacentral:lncRNA from 1 species